rnacentral:misc_RNA from 1 species
GUGCAUUCUGGGGUCAUUUUGGCUAUUAGCUGCUUUCCUGGCAUUUGUGCUUGGUGGGUGGCUUUUAGUUGGGUGAUUUCGGGGAUGUCUACCGUAAAGGUGCAUGAGUGGUGUUUGGUUUGUUACGGGUGGUUGGCUCUUUGCUUGCGCAACAACUUCCACCUGGCUUACCUUUUCAGUCUUGUGUCAUUGCUUGUAUCGCAUUGAAUGCAUGGUGGGUUUCUUGUGUUGCAUGCCUAAUUGAUGGUAUCAUUUGAAGAACUGAUGUCCCUUUUCAUCUUGUGUCGCACAUGCGAUGUGAGAUGAACCUUGAAGUAGCCUUUGUGAUCCACUCUUUCGAUGUACACGCAUUGAUUUUGUGGCCCACUGUGUGUUGCUUGGUCUCAUGGAUAUGGAACCUGGUGUGGGCAUGGGAUUUUUACUAGUUCCUUGUUUGCCCUGGUUUAGCUUUUCUAAUACACGAUUGUUUAUCACAUUUUAAUGUGGUAGGCUAUAUCGGAUAUGAAUGCUACCUGGUUGAUCCUGCCAGUAGUCAUAUGCUUGUCUCAAAGAUUAAGCCAU